rnacentral:lncRNA from 1 species
AGAAUGAACCCUACUGCCCCGCCCCAGCCACCCAAUCUGGGUCGCUCUGGGUCCACCCGCCCACCCUUCUUCUCCCAGAGACUCUGGAAACCCAAAGGAAGGGAAGCAGAGAAAAGAGAGUUUAAAAAAGAAAGAAAAGAAAGGAAAGGAAAAGAAAAGAAAAAUAAAGAAAAGAAGAGAAAAGAAAGGGAGUGGGGCGGAGGAGGGUAGGGACAAGAGACAGCAAGCCUGAACCGGGACAGGAGGGCUGCGAAGAAGGAAGGCGAGAGGAAGAAGAAAAUCGAGGGAAAUAAACGAACGGCGCAGUGGACACUUUACAAAACCCCAGCCUUCCUUCCCGCCCAGCCCCACCAAAAUAAAACUACCCCCCUUAAAAAAAUAAAUCAACCCAGGGCUGUGAGCACGUGCCCUGCCUGACAGGCGCAGAGCGGAGGACAGCCAGCCCCAGAGCUGACAGUGCGGCGCCGAGGGCAGCGGGAGGGAAGGGGAUGAGCACGUAGUAGUUAUAUUCCUUUUCUUUUUCUUUUUUUGCGUUUCCUCUUCGUGGGAGAAGCCUGAGGCAGCCGGGGAGAGGGUCCCCAGAUCCCCCUGCAGGGAGAGGGCCGCACCCUCCUCCCUCCUGGGAGGAGCAGCUGGCAGUGGGGUGCCUGGACUGGGUGCUCAGACGUAAUACUCUUUGUCUUUGUUCUUCUUGGCCUUGCUUGGCGUCUUGGGGGCAGCAGGGGCCUUCUCCUUCACCACCGCCCCAUUGCUCUGGGCCGAGUUACUGAUGUAAUUCCGGCUCUGGUCCACCUGGUAGGAGCCCUCGUCGCGGUUGCGGUACUUGUACAUGGCGUAGAGGAGAAUGAGGAUGCAGAGCGCCGCCGCCGCCACGAUGCCCACCACCAUGCCCGUGGUGCUGCUGGAUUCGCGGAUCACCUCCACUGCACCUGGCGGGCCGCGCUCCCCCGGACCCGUGGGGAAAAGAAAGAGAAGAGAGAAGAGAGGGCGUCAGCGAGGGCCAGGGCGCGGGCGGCCGGCACAGAGAGAGAAACAACAGCCUCACACCCAAAUCGGUUCAAUUGGCUUUGGCGGAGACUACGCGGGCCGGGCCCGCCCGCCAGCCGGCCAGCGCCUGCGCUUUAAGCGGGCUGCGGCUCGGAUGCCCUGGGCACCCCACGCGCGGGCUCUGUGACUUUGGGUUUUGGUCUUUUUGUUUCGUCUUAAGAAACCAAACGGAACAGAAAGGAAAGGAAAUUGAAAAGAAACGGAAUUUUUUUUUUUUCUACUGGUUUAAGGCUUUAAAAACAUACAACAGCAGCAUUUAAACAAACCUAACAACAAUAUCUUUUAGGGUUUUUUUUAUAUAUA